UACCUACCCACGUGCCCUGGGGUCACACGUCGGCCUAACUGGAGCCCUGUCUCAUUGCAGCUGUGAGUAAGUGCUCUCUAGUUCGGUUGCUGAGUGCUCAGGAAUUACCUCUGAGGGGCAU
rnacentral:precursor_RNA from 14 species